GUGCAUGUGUGGGUUUUCUCCGGCUUCCUCCCACCGUCCAAAAACAUGCUCCAUAGGCUCAUUUACUCAAAAUUGUCCCUAGGUGUGCACGUGAGAGUGCAUGAUUGUGGCCCUGAGACAGACUGGACAGACCUGUCUAGGAUGACCCCGCCUUCGCCUCCGAGCAGCCGGGAUAGGCUCCAGCAGCCCAGUGACCCAGAAAGGGACAAACCAUGUAAAUAAUGGAAUCAUUUGGUCCUCAGAUCUGGUCUGGUGAGUCCAAACAGAGACUUUGGUCUCUGGUUGUGACUUCAAACCUGGAGCAUCCAACCAAACACAUCGAGUCUGGAUCAGAGGAUCACGGCUGUUUCUACCAGAACUGUUUCUCUGUAGGAGAUGAUCAGCUGGAACAUCUGACAGCAGAUCUUCAAUAUAUUCACUAGAUUCCCUGCUGCGCGUGCGCUGCGUGCUCGUGCACUGACCAAUCACUGGUAUACAUGCGUUACCGGCUUCCCUGCCCCCUACUCUGGAGGCGCGUGCACACUGCACUUGCACGUAUCGCACGCGCCGAGAAAAUCUAGGCCCUUGGCGCUGGACAGAGGAAAGCGAACAAUGCGCGCGCGCACGCAAUCCCAAGGGGAGGAGUGUGGAUCUCAGAGGAGAACGGCGUUCUGUUUCAAAAACCCCUGAGCAGCUCCUAAAGGUCACACGGUGACCUCACGGCAGAACUGGAGCAAAGUCAAUUCAUUCACCAUGCUGGAGCCAGACGUCAUUCGUACGCAGUGAUUGGUCCGAGUCAGUCUGAGUCACCGUUUCUGUGGCAAGCACUCUCCAAUCAGGAGUCAGCUCGUUGGAAGGCCACACCCCUACCACUGGAAAGCGGGCUGAACAAAAUCUGUCAAACACUUUUAAUGUUGGAGGUGGCGCCAGCAGGCUCCACCCACUUUUAUCGAGGUGUCUGAUUGGUCAGUUUAUGACUUGGAAACAUUGAACUACAGAAAAACAUCAUUUAAAAAGAAGGAUUAUUAAGAAGAUGUUAAUAAAAGUACCAGAUCCAGAA